rnacentral:lncRNA from 1 species
UCUUCCCUCUCACGUUUCUUCAUCUUCCAUGGGAGUUCUCUUCAAGCUUCCAUAACUUUCUCAAGCUAGCUCCAUUUUUCAUGCUUUUAUGUACCCUUUCAUAGAACCUUUGUGCUCUUUCACUCUCUCACUUUAAAACCCUUGAAAAGUCUUACUUCCAUAUUCUCUCUCACUAGCUAGGUGUUUUAGAGAGAGAAAGAGGGAGUUUGUAUAAUAGUUUGAAAAUUAUUGGAAAAAAUUUCAAAUUUACAAAGCUACCAAGGUGAGUAGUAAAUUAAAAUUUAUUUUUUUAGUCGUUGAUAAUGUCUAGUAAUUUGAUUUGUGAGUAUUAUUGUUAAGAUUGUUUAAUCAUUUUUAGUGUGACUAGAGUAGUGUAAAUAAUAGCCAUUUAAUGGUAGUUGGAAGCUAGUAGGAAUGAUUAGUAGAACUCAAUUUAGAAAAUAGCUUUGGAAUAGUAUUAAUGCCAAGUUGGGUUGAUGGUGAUGAUGCUAAUGUGAUGAUAGGUUCCAACGAAGCCCCACCACCCCAUUUGGACCAUUAGAAGAAGUUAGAGUUGAGUAAAGAUUUAACGAAUACCGUUGAGUGAACUUACAUUUCAAAAUUUCUUUAGGAAAUGUAAAUGUAUUUGGGGUGAAACAUUUGAAUGAUUUUUAUCCAACUUUUCUUUAAAAUGUACCUGGGGAACAAGCCUUUGGUGAAAUGUUUUUAUCUUGUGAAAAUGUGCCAUAUAAAUGGUUCAUGUGUUAUCACAAUAUGUUAAUAUGUAUAAUAUCCAUUGGAUGUUCCUUUUUGUGUAAUGAUGAUGACCCAACUAUGUGCGUGUGGGAGUGCACAUGAGCUGAUGAUGACCCAGCUAUGUGUGAGUGGGGAGUGCACAUGGGCUGUGAUGGUGGGGUGGUAUGCAUGAUGAUGUAUAUUUAUAUAUAUAAAUAUGUGUGUUAUAGAAAGUUCAUGAGUAUGGUAUAAGUUGUAAUACAUGUGAAUCUUGCAUGUUAAACCUUGGAAAUUUCUAAAUAUGUUCAAGUUGAUUUUGUCCUUGUAGCUAAAUGGCCUUUUCUUGAGAGAAUGAAAAUUUGUUGUUGGUGUCCUGUUUCUCAUUGCAGCGAAAAACUCUUAGGUUGGAGGGUUACAUUGGCUUGAUUCUCGCUGCAGCGAGAAAGUUGCUGACGCUCUUCUCUGUAGCGAGAUUUAUUCUCGCUAUAGUGAGAAACUUUCUGUUUUACCGCCUGAAUAUCGCUGCAACGAGAAUUCACUUUCUGUCCAACAUGCUAUCUUGUUGGUUGCUGCCCUAUUUUCCAUUUCAUUAACACCACAGUUGAUCAUGGACUUCCAACGUUAAGGGAUUUAUUUAAUUAAGUUUGAAAGGAACGAUUUUAGAAAGAAACCCUCGUCCAACUGAUAAUUUGAGCCCAAAUUUAGUUGUAAUGGAAAGGCAUUCUCGCUGCAGUGUAGCUGCAGCUAGAAUGCCUUUUUGCUGCAGCGAGGACCCGUCGUUUCAUUUGACUUGUUUGAAUAUUACUAAAGCUUUCAAUCUUCAAAUUCUUUGUUAUGUAUGGAUCUUUCAUCAUCAAGGGAUUAACUCAUUAACGGUUUAAUGAGGGGUUUUAGUAAGAACCAAACUAAAUUGUAUUAUUUUUUAAAUAAGUGCAUCAUGAUUUCUUUAAAUGUUCCUUAUCGUUGGUUUGUUUCCUUCCUUUGUUCACUCACUGGGUUUAUACUCACCGUUUUCAACUUCAUGUUUUCAGAUCAAGAGGCAGCCGGUAACUAGGUCGAGGUGUCCUUGUAGAUUCGUUCCUUGGUAGGUAUCUCGGUAUUCAAUAGUUGAACUUUCGUCGAGUCUCUCCGCUGGAACUCGAGUAUCCCUUUUUGUUGUGUAUAGACAAACCCGAUAUAAAUUAUUAAGAUAUAUGUUUUAGACAAUGUAUGUAUAUUUAAUCGAAAAUGCCACUACAAGAUGGCAAUGGUUAGCAUUAUUUUGAAUUGAAAUUAUGAAAUGUGACUUUAAAAACUUAUGAUGGAAUGAUAAACAGGUUAUAUAAAUAGGCUUGUUUAGGUUUAGUGGGCUACGUCCAUUGGGCCCAUGCGUCGAUCGUG